GUACCUACAAAAAUAUGAUAUAAUGUUACAUACAUGUAAGCACAACAGCAGCAUCGUGCAAACUAAUCCAUCUUUCAGUACCACUCUUUGGUAUCUUUUUUUUUUAAAACAUCGAUAAAUACCAAAAGUUUCAUCGGCUUCUUGCACCUUAACUUCUUCAUCUUCUUUUUUCCUAGAAUGCUACUCUAUCUCUUUCCGUAGAUCUUGGUCUCUUGACUCUUGUUGCUUUUUUUGACCAUCUAACCCCAUGCACUCUAUCGCUCUUUCUUUCUUUCUUUUUUCAAAGCUUUCAAUAUUUAAUCAUCGAGGAUAUUAAAACUUUAGCAUGAAGUCUCGAUCUGUGGACAUUUCCUUUUUAAUUACCUCUUUUAUUUACCAAUGUGGGGACACAAGG